UUAGGAACAUAUGGGUGAAUCCUGUGGUGAAGGGAUGGUUUCCCAUCGGUAAUGUGCCUGCUCGCUCUGCCCACUUGCUCCCUCCGGCCACACGGGUGGGUCUUUGGCUCCAUGGUUAGUGCCCUCUGUGGUCUCCCUCUCCUGUCUGGUAUGCUGGUCCUUGGCUGGCUCUCCCUCUCCUCUUUCUGGGAUUGGGCAUCGCACCUCUUUCUUGACUCCCUUCCGGAGUGGAUUCUGCACUGUAAUCCUCUGCCAUGUGCCUGCUGGUUUGCUUCAGGGCGCCUGCCACAGUUACUGCUUGUGCUCUUUACCUCAGGCUUCUUGGCUUUCCAGGUCUUGUUCUCAGCGCUUCGGAGAGUGCCUGCCUCAGGAUGAUAGAUCCUGGGGGAUGAAGGAGUGAGGAGAUCCACGCAAGAAGCAGAAGCCUUGGUAGUGAGCGGACCGUGGCUCCUCUUUAUCUUGAAAUAUGAGGCCAUUCUGACGUAGGCAUCAAGAAUUUCCACUACAAUCUUCUUCGGGGCUGUUGGGUGUGACCUCAGUGGGGAACUAUUUGAAAAAGUUAAGUAUUAAAAAUAAAAUCCCCCCCCCCCCAAAAAUCAGAGAACAGAGAAGUACUCUUUGGAGCAAUUGUUAUAAACAAAAGGGAAAUUAACAGUUAAAAAAAAAA
rnacentral:lncRNA from 1 species